CUAAGGCCGAUGGCGACCGGCGCACGGGUGAGUAACACGUAUCCAACCUGCCGAUAACUCGGGGAUAGCCUUUCGAAAGAAAGAUUAAUACCCGAUGGCAUAAUAGAACCGCAUGGUUUGAUUAUUAAAGAAUUUCGGUUAUCGAUGGGGAUGCGUUCCAUUAGGCAGUUGGUGGGGUAACGGCCCACCAAACCUUCGAUGGAUAGGGGUUCUGAGAGGAAGGUCCCCCACAUUGGAACUGAGACACGGUCCAA
rnacentral:rRNA from 1 species